UUUUUUACACUAAACUUCAUUUCAUAUUGAAAGAAAGAUACAUACAGUGGCAGGGAUCAACCCUCCACGACCAAAGCCCCAAAAACAGGGAGACAAAGCCCGACAUUGGGAGCCAUACAAGAUCAAACAGAAAGAACACAACAAGGACAUCGGAGAUUCAAAUUAAGACAUUUAAGAUACUCAUGCAAUUAAUAAUCUAUAAUCUGGAACAGAUAAGAGUUAAAAAGCACCACCAAAAGGAGUAAAGAUGAGUAAACUCCUUACUAAAGAACCAGCAGAAAGCCACGUUGUGCUGCUACGACAAACGGAGUCCCAGCGGCGGCAGUGACGGAUCCACCCAUUAGACCUCUUUAUAUUUCUCCAAAGGUUCGGAGCUACGGACGCUUCAAGGAUAGCUCUGAUCUGAGACGUAAUCCAUUCGUCCCGAGAGCAAAGAAUGAGCAAGAUCGCGAUGGUGGAACUCAGGUACCAAAAGAACCGGUUAACGAGCUACGUUUGCCGAAACGGAAACGGCCAAAUCUGCAACAAGAACAACCCUGAAAUGCACCCACGAAAACUCUGAAAUGCACCCACGAAAACUAAACAUAUUAGCAACCCACAGUCCCAGGAAACAAAACGUUAGCGAAACGGAUAUUGACAGAAGCCUCCGGUAUAGAUAUACAAGAAGGAGAGCAUAGCUUCGACGAUAUGGAAGCCGCCGGAGCUGCAAAUUGGAAAGUUCAGUUUGAGAGGAGAGACCAUGGAGCUUUUAGGAGAGAGAAGAUGACC
rnacentral:lncRNA from 1 species